ACUCGUUGUGGUUGCCUGGCUAGGUUUGUAGUUCGUUUUGUGGCUUACACUGGAAGAUGGCAUGUGGCUUUGUUUGUUGAAUCGCACAAUCAUGAUUGCCUUGAUCCUAGGUUAGUUGGUUUCCUUCCUACACAUAGAAAAAUGGCAGAAGCUGAUGCUAGUCAAAUGAACAACAUGAAGGAUGCAGGCAUUAGCACACCCCAUAUAUAUGCUAUGUUAGCUAAUCAAGCAGGUGGUUAUGAAAAUGUUAAUUAUACCUUAAGGGAUAUGUAUAAUGAGAUUGCUAGGCGAAGGCGUCAUGUCCUGGGUGAUGCUAGAGCGGCAUUGCGAUACCUCAAAAACCAGAAAUCUGAAGAUACAAACCUCUAUUAUGAGCACAUAGUUGAUGCUAAAGGGGUAUUGCGAGCUUUAUUUUGGUGUGAUGGAAGAAGCCAAUUAGAUUAUGAAGUAUUUGGAGAUGUGCUUGCCUUUGAUGCGACAUACAAGAAGAACAAGUACUUGUGUCCGGUAGUAGUAUUUUCCGGUGUGAAUCAUCACAACCAAAUAGUGGUAUUUGGAAGUGCUCUAGUUACCGAUGAGAGUAAGGAGGUCUACGUGUGGUUAUUACAGCAAUUAUUGGCAGCCAUGAAGGGAAAAGCACCUGUAUCUGUGAUUACAGAUGGUGCUCCAUCAAUGAGAUUUGCAAUUGAGACGGUAUUCCUAAAUGCCCAUCAUAGAUUAUGUGCUUGGCACCUCAUUCGGAACGCCACAAGUAAUGUUGGAAACCCAAAAUUUACAUCUAUGUUUAAGAAGUGCAUGCUAGGAGAUUAUGAAAUUAGUGUGUUUGAGCAGAAGUGGUUUGGAAUGGUUGAGGAGUUUGGUGUAGCUGAAAAGAAUUGGAUUAUUGACAUGUACGAGAAAAGGCAUAUGUGGGCCACUGCACAUAUUUGAGGCAAGUUUUUUGCAGGAUUUAGGACAACUUCUCGAUGCGAAGGUUUGCACUCUAUUAUUGCAAAAUAUAUUAAAUCUCAAUACAAUUUGAUUGAUUUCAUAAAGCAUUUUAAGCGGUGUCUUACCUACCUAAGAUAUAAGGAGGUUGAAGCUGACUAUGUUUCCAUAUCUGGUCUUCCAGUACUUAAAACAGCAUUAGAACCUCUGGAAAGGUCUACAUCAAAUUUCUAUACACGAGAGAUAUUUUUUAUAUUUCGAGGCAUGCUUGUUAGGGCUGCAAGAAUGAAGGUUGUGCAAGAUGUGGCAUUUGAUUCAUUUGUACUUUAUACAAUAUCUAAAUAUGGAAGUCUAAAUAGUUCAUGGGAGGUGUCUGUAGAUAAUGAAAGGACGAAAUUUAAUUGUUCAUGCUUAAGGAUGGAUUCUUUUGGAAUUCCGUGUGAGCAUAUAGUUUGAGUGCUGGUGUUUCUUAACAUCCUUGAGCUGCCAAAGUCUCUUGUGUUGACAAGAUGGUCGAAGAAUGCCAAGACAAGCACUUUCGAUUCAAGUGGCGUUACUUGGGAGUCUAUAAUAUUGAGUCAAUAUGGUUGCUUGAUGGAUUGGUGUCGGCAGUUGUCCUAUGUCGCUAGUCGAAGGCAGGAGAGAUUCUACCUUGUUCGAGAUACUGUUAUGAGCCUAAUCGAAGAUUUCAAGAUUGAAGAUGAACAAGAAAAGCAAGUUGGUGCUGAAGCUGAUUAUUCAGAUGGUAUUUUUCCUAAGAAUCCACAAAAUUGUAGGUCUAAGUGUCGUCCUGAUGAGAAGGUAAAACGAAAACCACAACGAUGUAGUAUUUGUCGCAUGGAAGGGCACAAUAAAAAAUCUUGUCCAUUGGCAAAGGACAUUCAGCAGCAGACCAAUGCAACUUCUUAUGGUAUAAAUAGGAACCAUGUUGAGGAAGGUUUGGAUGCAGAUGCAGAAAUGGAAUUUUGGGCAUCUGAUCUUGAAGAAGAUUAUGAAGAACAAGAGUUUUGGGCAGGAGAUUCUGAUGCAAGUGCCGACAUGGAACUUAGUGAAGAGUUCUCGAUGUAGUAUUAUAUAAAUUAUUAUUAUGUGAUAUUUGAAUAAAACUUGAGUAAUUGAACUUUGUGUAUGAAUUUUUAUGAUGAACUUGGUGUUAUUUGCUUAAUUGCUAUGAAAAAAGUGAGAUUUGAGA